rnacentral:rRNA from 1 species
GACGAACGCUGGCGGCGUGCCUAAUACAUGCAAGUAGAACGCUGAAGGAGGAGCUUGCUUCUCUGGAUGAGUUGCGAACGGGUGAGUAACGCGUAGGUAACCUGCCUGGUAGCGGGGGAUAACUAUUGGAAACGAUAGCUAAUACCGCAUAAUAGUAGAUGUUGCAUGACAUUUGCUUAAAAGGUGCAAUUGCAUCACUACCAGAUGGACCUGCGUUGUAUUAGCUAGUUGGUGAGGUAACGGCUCACCAAGGCGACGAUACAUAGCCGACCUGAGAGGGUGAUCGGCCACCCUGGGACUGAGACACGGCCCAGACUCCUACGGGAGGCAGCAGUAGGGAAUCUUCGGCAAUGGACGGAAGUCUGACCGAGCAACGCCGCGUGAGUGAAGAAGGUUUUCGGAUCGUAAAGCUCUGUUGUAAGAGAAGAACGAGUGUGAGAGUGGAAAGUUCACACUGUGACGGUAUCUUACCAGAAAGGGACGGCUAACUACGUG